rnacentral:rRNA from 1 species
GACAGAGGGUGCAAACGUUGUUCGGAAUCACUGGGCGUAAAGCGUGUGUAGGCGGUCUUGUAAGUCGGAUGUGAAAGCCCCGGGCUCAACCUGGGAAGUGCACUCGAUACUGCAAGACUUGAGUACUGGAGAGGUUGGUGGAAUUCUCGGUGUAGAGGUGAAAUUCGUAGAUAUCGGGAAGAACAUCGGUGGCGAAGGCGGCCAACUGGACAGAUACUGACGCUGAGACGACGAAAGCGUGGG